rnacentral:tRNA from 1 species
GGAAGGUUGGCAGAGUGGUCGAUCGCGCACCGUUGGAAACGGUGUUUACCGCAAGGUAACGGGGGUUCGAAUCCCCCAUCUUCCG